GACGAACGCUGGCGGCGUGCUUAACACAUGCAAGUCGAACGGAAAGGCCCGGCUUUUGUGGGGUGCUCGAGUUGCGAACGGGUGAGUAACACUUGAGUAACCUGCCCUUGACUUUGGGAUAACUUCAUGAAACUUGGGCUAAUACCGGCUAGGAGCUCCUGCUUCAUGGUGGGGGUUGGAAAGUUUCGGCGGUUGGGGAUGGAUUCGCGUCUCAUCAGCUUGUUGGUGGGGUAGUGUCUUACCAAGGAUUUGACGGGUAGAUGGCCUGAGAGGGUGACAGGCCACCCUGGGAGUGAGUUACGGACGACCCAGAUACGGACGGGAGGAGGCAGGAAGAAUGAAUAAAGGGCGGACGAAUGCCUCAGCCAGCACGCGUGCGGGAUGAAGGAAUUCCGGAUGUUAAUAGAUUUCGUCUGUCACGAAGCGUAAGUGAAGGUAAUGGGUAAAGAAGCACCGGCUAACUACGU
rnacentral:rRNA from 1 species